GUGUUGUAUGGAAGGAGAGAAGGUUAGCGUUUCCCUUGACAAGGAUGGAAGAGGCUCUCAGGCCUGACAACACACUAAGGUUAAGGCAUUGCCACCUGCUUCGUGGCAUCUAACCAAUGUUUUAA
ensembl:snRNA